rnacentral:lncRNA from 1 species
UCUGUUUUCUCAAUUGUCCUGAGGUUCGUUGGGUGGCGUAGUCGGUACUUCCGGUGGCGCCUCUUCUUCAUGUAUAGUUAUCUUCUAUUUCCAUACCUGACUCGGUGCUUCAAUCUCCUCUGGAUAAUUCUGUUUAAACUCUACGUCUUCUGACCUUACAACUUCUCCUUCGUAGUCUGCCCAUCCGUCCUUGAUGAUUUGCCUCCUCUAGUUGCGGUUGCGUCUCUUUCUGACCUGCUUAGAUUCUUCAACGAUAUAGUUAGGGUCAGUAAAAUAACGGCGUACCUUCUCUGAGGGGAAGUGCAUAUGGACUUCUCCGGUUCUAAUGUAGAUGAUUGCUUUAACGGUGCUGAAGAACGGUCUUCCAAGGAUGAUGGGUGGAUCGUACUCAUCUUCUCCCAUG